rnacentral:tRNA from 1 species
GCGGGUGUAGUUCAAUGGUAGAACUCCAGCUUCCCAAGCUGACAACGCGGGUUCGAUUCCCGUCACCCGCUCCA